rnacentral:rRNA from 1 species
UACAUGGGGUGCAAACGUUGCUCGGAAUUAUUGGGCGUAAAGCGCGCGUAGGCGGUUAUCUAAGUCGGAUGUGAAAGCCCUCGGCUUAACUGAGGAAGUGCACCCGAAACUGGAUAGCUAGAGUACGAAAGAGGGUCGCGGAAUUCCCGGUGUAGAGGUGAAAUUCGUAGAUAUCGGGAGGAACACCGGUGGCGAAGGCGGCGACCUGGGUUGAGACUGACGCUGAGGCGCGAAAGCGUGGGGAGCAAACAGG